GCACCAACGAACACCUAAAGAGGGGGAGGACGGGGUUAGGAUGGAUGUGACCUUCUAGUACCAGAAAUAGGCAUUAAUGACCAUGCCCUGAAUGAAUCACGUUGAGUACAUUUGUGUAGGACCAGCUGGAUAUCAAAACGGAGGCAACAUUGGGUUAAACAAAUCAAGAAGCUCAGUUCAGUAUGUUACAUCUUUAGAAUCAGUGCUUGAUUUGUAAGAAAACAGGUUCUGUUACUCUGACAACCUAGCUGCAGCAGAAGUUCUGUUGUACCACAUCUCAAAAUCUGCAGUUCUGAGUUUUUCUCAUCAGAGCUGUUAAAGUUGGUACUACAGACAUAGUCACCAUGUAAUAAGAGGAUACCAAUGACUCAC